AUUGAACGCUGGCGGCAGGCCUAACACAUGCAAGUCGAGCGGAGCGGCGGACGGGCGAGUAAUUCCUAGGAAUCUGCCUGGCCGUGGGGGAUAACGUCCGGCUACGGGCGCUAAUACCGACCACUAUCCGUUGUGCCUAGGUGGGUUUAGCUAGUUGGUGGGGUAAAGGCCUACAGAGGCGACGAUCGGUACCUGGUCUGAGAGGAUGAUCAGUCACACUGGAACUGAGACACGGUCCAGACUCCUACGGGAGGCAGCAGGGGGGAAUAUUGGACAAUGGGCGAAAGCCUGAUGCAGCCAUGCCGCGUGUAUGAAGAAGGUCUUCGGGUUGUAAAGCACUUUCAGUUGGGAGGCGUUACCAACAGAAGAAGCACCGGCUAACUUCGUGCCAGCAGCCGCGGUAAUAC
rnacentral:rRNA from 1 species